CCCUUCGAACGGGAACCCCGGGAACUGGGGCUAAUCCCAGAUAGAUGAGAACUCCUGGAAUGGGUUCUCGUCCAAAAGGCACCAAGAUCAUGCUUCUUGGCGUCGCUUAAGGAUGGGGCCGCGACCGAUCAGGCUGUUGGUGAGGCAACGGCUCACCAAACCUUUAACCGGUACGGGCCGUGGGAGCGGGUGCCCGGAGAUGGGAACUGAGACAAGGUCCCAGGCCCUACGGGGCGCAGCAGUUACGAAAACUUGUCAAUGCACGAAAGUGUGAACGGGCUACCCCGAGUGCCGUCCGCUGAGGAUGGCUUUUCUCUGCUGUAAGGAAGCGGAGGAAUAAGGAGAGGGCAAGUCUGGUGUCAGCCGCCGCGGUAAUACCAGCUCUCCGAGUGGUAGGGAUGAUUAUUGGGCUUAAAGCGUCCGUAGCCGGCCUCUCAAGUCUCUCGUUAAAUCCAGCGAUUCAAUCGUUGGACUGCGGGAGAUACUGUGAGGCUAGGGGGCGGGAGAAGCCGACGGUAUUUCCGGGGUAGGGGUAAAAUCCUAUAAUCCCAGGAAGACCACCAGUGGCGAAGGCGGUCGGCUAGCACGCGCUCGACGGUGAGGGACGAAAGCUGGGGGAGCGAACCGGAUUAGAUACCCGGGUAGUCCCAGCUGUAAACGAUGCUGGCUAGGUGUUGAAGCGGCUACGAGCCGCUUCAGUGCCGCAGGGAAGCCAUUAAGCCAGCCGCCUGGGGAGUACGGCCGCAAGGCUGAAACUUAAAGGAAUUGGCGGGGGAGCAC
rnacentral:rRNA from 1 species